AGAUCUGGCUCACUGGCUGGUUUCCUCAUCCAUAGGCCGGCUCCAAGAGCUAUGUGCAAUAAUGACCACAGUGAUAUUCACUGUAAAGAGAAUUCUCCAGGGUAGAGAACUACAUCUCUAUGUCACCAUCAACUCCUUCCUAAGGCCAGCAAUGAUCUAUAUCUGCAUCAGAACCAGACCUGGGUUCAUAGGUCAGAACCACCUCCACAACCACAACUGCAUGGCAGGGCAAACGAAAGCAAGAGAAGACCUAGGUCUGCUCCUCCUGUGACCAUCUAGUAGGCUAUUAUUCCUGCGGAGGGUCUAGUGCCUUGUAGCUUCUCAAUGGAUAACAGCCAAAUGCAGAAUCUUAAUGGCUUUCCCUUUCGGUUCGACAAGCCCAGAGCUCUAGCCGGGGUGCGGGCUGUGUGUGAAGAAAUAGGAGUCUUGAUUUCAUUUCGUAACCUGGGCCCCUCGGUGCCUAGCAGCUGGGGCUGGGAACAAGACCAACAUUCAUUGACAAACGAAGAGAUGAAAACAUUUUCGAAGCUGACAAGCCAUCAAUUGGGUGCCACCCGGGAAGAGAAGCCAUGGUCUGCAGCUCUGCUUCCUGGCCUCACUGCCAGGAGAACAUGGGACCCGCCAUCCACACCCAAUGAGUCGCCCUGGGUUUGGGAGGUCUCUUUUUAUCCUGAGAGCAGGCUUAGGAGCAAUUAGGAAAGCGGCGCCUACCGGCUUGUCUUGGUGGACACGGAGCAGCGACUGCUUGGCUUGUUGGGUAUGGCUGAAGCCUGUAUACAGUGGGACGACCUAAGUUAUCGAGGGACAGAGUAGCCAUGUACACAGAAGGGCCCUCUUGAGUGGCAGCUAGGGCCACUGUAAUUUUGUCCCAUGGGCUAGCCUGGGUCAAGCUCUCUCUGGAAACUGCCAGUCAGCCGAGGGCCCCUGAGGAGACUCACAUUGUCUGUUUGCUGUUUUGGUCCAGCAACGCAGGCCCCUACUGAUUUGGGGAACCAGCCUCCUGGUGCUUCCUAAAUGCCCUGUUUUGAGAGGUUCCACAGAGUGAGGGUGUAAGUGUCUGGCCUGGAGGGAGAGACAUGCUCCCCUGGUUUCCAAUCCCCAUCAUAUCUUAGCUGUCAGCAGGGAGGGAGGUCCAGAGGUUACAGGAGGCUGUAGCAGAGUAACAAGGGCUUACACUAUUAAUCCAGGCUAGCUGUUCUUCGCAGAGGCAGACAGCACUGUGUGUUGGGUGGGGAUCACUUCACCAGGCCUGCCUUUGCCCCAAGGGGCAGUUUCUUGGAUGGGAUAGGGAUGGUGUCAUUAAGCCCAUUUGAGGAAGCAACCAACCAGCCGUUACCAGCUUUGUGCUUCACCGACCAUAUUCAGUUACUGUUGGACACUCUUUUCCUUCAGGCACAAAUGGGUAAUUUCUCAUAUUCCUGCCUCUGUGACUGGGGCCAAGCAGGCAUGUCUCCCUUGUUCGGUUCACUGCUCCCACGUCUGGAAUAGUCCCUGCUGUCCAGGUUCUGGCCAGGUGUCACAUGGCUUUACUCUGUGGGCGGUCCUCACGAGAUCGAUGGACUCCUGGUGAUCCACAGCAUUGUGUGAAUGACGUGUAGGAAGGGCGCCGGAGUGAGCUGAGGUUGGAUCUGCCCUUGGUCACAACGCUUGAUUCGGAACCCUGGCUUUUUAUAGGACUACUAUCUCCUCCGGUGAUGAAGGUUGACAUCCUGGAACUACUCAUGGCACAGAUGCGGGCUAAACCCUAGAAGACUUACAGGGCAGCCCCGGGCAGGAUUCCUCCAGGGCUCACACAGUUUAAAUGUUUCAGACUGGGAUCAUUGCAAACGGAAUUUUCACCUACAGAGGAGAGAGGCAAGGAGGAAAGGCGAUGCCCAAGGAAAGCCUCGCCCAUCUGGUCCCACUCUUUCUUAGCCAACCAGUUGUCUGUGUGAAGAUUAGGUUACUGGUUUUGGCUCCCCCCCCCCUUUUUCUUUUUUGUCAACUUGAUACAAGCUAAGAAGAAAGGUAAUAGCUCUUGAGAACACGACAACGUUCAGAUUGGCUUGGGGGCAAGUUCACGGGGGAGGGGGUCAGUUCCUUGAUUAAUGAUCUAUAUGGGAGGUACCCGAACCACUGUGAGUGGUGCCAGCCUGGGCAGAUGACCCUGGACUGUCUAAGAAAGCCGGCUCAUCGAGCCAUGACAAGCUAGCCGGUGAGCCCUGUAAACGUUCCUCUGCAGUGCUUGCUACAGUUCCUGCCUUGAGUUCCUGCCUUGGCUUCCCUGACUGAUGGACUCUCAGCCAAAUAAACACUCUGCUAUGGAA
ensembl:lincRNA